rnacentral:rRNA from 1 species
UACGGAGGGUGCGAGCGUUGUCCGGAAUUAUUGGGCGUAAAGGGCUCGUAGGCGGUUUGUCACGUCAGGAGUGAAAACUCGGGGCUCAACCCCGAGCCUGCUUCUGAUACGGGCAGACUAGAGUGCUGUAGGGGAGACUGGAAUUCCUGGUGUAGCGGUGAAAUGCGCAGAUAUCAGGAGGAACACCGGUGGCGAAGGCGGGUCUCUGGGCAGUAACUGACGCUGGAGGAGCGAAAGCGUGGGGAGCGAACAGG